ensembl:lncRNA
UACGUGUUGCAGUGGUGGCAUUGUUGACAGAAUCAGAGGUAGGCAUAAGGUUGUGGCAGUCAAUAAAAAUAUAGAAAACACUGCACUGCACUUUGCAAAUGUUAAAUAAGCAAUUAAAGACUCAAAAGAAUGCAUUGCUUGGUUUAGAGUCAAAGACUGAAUCUAAUUAGCUUGAUGAGAGACAACAUAUGCUUGUAAGCAGUCAUACUGACUGUACUGCAGCAUAUUGUGAAAUCUAACCUGAUGUUUUUCUGAUCAGCUACAAUGAGGUAAAGAAGGCCCGGAAGACGCAAUGACCAGUUGCCCUACAAUGAUUGCAAAAGAUCAAAAGAGCCUGCUGAACACCAAUGUGAUCCUGAUCCUUUGUGCUCAAGGUGGCUCCAUCCAGAAACCUGCAAGUCAGCAAUGUGAACCAUUUCCAGUACCGUCGUGCUUGUACAGGCUCCAUGUCAAGAUCAAAUAAAUUGUCAUAAGUCUCAUGGGAUGGAAGUGGCUGUGGACAUGGACGACCUGCCCUCUCCUGGUAGCCUGUUAGCAAAAAGGCAUGUAUAAUUGAGUUUUCAUACAGGUUUUUUAGUCUGUCUUUAUCUCAGACUUAUUAAAAUUAUCACACAUGAAAUGAAAAUUUAAGGAAUGAAGGGGGAAUGGGAAUUAUGCAUAUUUCAGAAGAACUGACCGUGAAUUCAUUGCAUUCUUUCUAUAAAUGCAAAUUGCUUAAGUUUUGAAAGGCUUUAAAUAAUUGUUUCUCUGCCUUGAUGACUGGAUAAAAGAAUGAAAUUAAUAUUUUAAAAUGAUCAGAACAUUAUUAGAAACUGUUAAUAAACAAAAAUGGGUGUGCUCA